UCUCCGUUGGUGAACCAGCGGAGGGAUCAUUACCGAGUAUACAACUCCCAAACCCUAUGUGAACCUUACCUUUUGUUGCUUCGGCGGGAUCGCCCCGGCGCUUCACCCCGCCGGAUCACAGGCGCCCGCCGGAGGCCCAAAACUCUUGUCUAUUUAUGUUUCCUCUCCGAGUGGCACAAGCAAAACAAAUCAAAACUUUCAACAACGGAUCUCUUGGUUCUG
rnacentral:misc_RNA from 1 species